rnacentral:rRNA from 1 species
AUUGAACGCUAGCGGGAUGCUUUACACAUGCAAGUCGAACGGCAGCGCGGACUUCGGUCUGGCGGCGAGUGGCGAACGGGUGAGUAAUGUAUCGGAACGUGCCCAGUAGCGGGGGAUAACUACGCGAAAGCGUAGCUAAUACCGCAUACGCCCUACGGGGGAAAGCAGGGGAUCGUAAGACCUUGCACUAUUGGAGCGGCCGAUAUCGGAUUAGCUAGUUGGUGAGGUAACGGCUCACCAAGGCGACGAUCCGUAGCUGGUUUGAGAGGACGACCAGCCACAGGGGGACGGAGACCCGGCCCAGACUCCUGCGGGAGGCAGAAGGGGGGAUUUUUGGACAAGGGGGGCACCCUUGAUCCACCCACCCCGCGUGUGGGAGGAAGGCUUUGGGGUUGUAAAGCACUUUGGGCAGGAAAGAAACGUCGCGGGCUAAUCCCCCGGGGACCGGAGGUUACCUGAAAAAAAAGCCCCGGCAAACUCCGGC